GCUAUGGGUUUGGCAAGGAUUUUUGGUGAAGAAGGCCAAGGAGAAGGAAUAGGACGUGAUUUUUGAAGAAGAAAGGGUAAGGAAUGGGUUUUGGACAAACCCUAGAAUUUUUGGAAUUUAUUUGGUUGAUUUUGAUUAUGUUGAGCUAUUGUUGUUGUUGGAAAAAUUGUGAAAAAUAGAGAUUUGAGGAUGGUUUAAUUAGUAGGAUUUUAUUAGCAUAAUUUUCAUAG
rnacentral:lncRNA from 1 species